AUCACUUGGGGGUGUUGUUAAAAUGCAGAUUCUGAGUCAGGUCUUAGGGUCUGCAUUUCUAACAAGCUCCCUGCUGGGGCUGAUGCUGCU
rnacentral:miRNA from 1 species